CCACCACCAAAGCAUUCUCUGGUGUUGAAGGCCCUGCAAAGCAGCAUCGCGGUGGCGGAGCGUCGUUUGCGACGCCCAACACACAAAACAAGCGGUGAGUGCUUUGGGGUGGGGUGACUGCGUACCUUUUGUAUAAUGGGUCAGCGACUUAUAUUCUGUAGCAAGGUUAACCGAAUAGGGGAGCCGUAGGGAAACCGAGUCUUAACCGGGCGUUAAGUUGCAGGGUAUAGACCCGAAACCCGGUGAUCUAGCCAUGGGCAGGUUGAA
rnacentral:rRNA from 1 species